GAACGCGAAGAACCUUACCCGGGCUUGAAUUGCAGGAGAACGAUACAGAGAUGUUGAGGUCCUUCGGACACUCUUGGAGGUGCUGCAUGGUUGUCGUCAGCUCGUGCCGUGAGGUGUCGGCUUAAGUGCCAUAACGAGCGCAACCCUUUUCCUUGGUUGCCAUCAGGUAAUGCUGGGCACUCCAGGGAUACUGCCAUCGUAAGAUGUGAGGAAGGUGGGGAUGACGUCAAAUCAGCACGGCCCUUACGUCCGGGGCUACACACGUGUUACAAUGGGGGGUACAGAAGGUCGCUACCUGGUGACAGGAUGCUAAUCUCAAAAACCUCUCUCAGUUCGGAUUGGAGUCUGCAACCCGACUCCAUGAAGCUGGAUUCGCUAGUAAUCGCGCAUCAGCCAUGGCGCGGUGAAUACGUUCCCGGGUCUUGUACACACC
rnacentral:rRNA from 1 species